CUCAAAAAACUUUUUAUUUUAUUAAACCCUUCCCCCCAAAAUCACAUGUCCUUCACACAAAAAACAGGAAAAUUCAAGAAUCCAUAAUUUCUGAAAGCCAAAACUCAUUAGCGGUAGCUACCGAACCGCUGUUACCAGGUCGCACCAUCUUGUCAGCCAACCUCGCUUUGAGUGGCUCCUUAUUCGAGCAACACACAGUUGCUGGUCUUCUCCUUUAAUAAGAAUGAAGAGAAGAAGAUGAUGUGAAGAAAUUAGCCAUGAAAAUUGCAAUAGUUUUAUGCUUGAGAUUGAAGAUGAAGACAUGAGUUAAGUUAGCAAUUGGUGAAUUGCAUUUAAAAAGGAGAAAUUGAUAUUUAAGAGCGUAAGUUAGAGUUGGGAUUCACACGCCUCACCGCAGCAGGCGGCUGCGGGUUUGCUUCCCCUUUGGCUCCGCGCAGCCCUUCUCCACCAUUGUGUCUUGAGUCACGCCACCACCACAAGAACCACCAACCUCUUGACCAUUUUCUAGUUUCUCCAUUGUUCCCAGUUUAUAAGAGGAAAGUAGACUCUUAGUUGGGCGAUUUUUGUAACCUGUGGUCGUGCAGUGACGCUUGCAGCGGGGGGAUCAUAGACAAGCGUAGCAGGUACUGGAACUUCUUUUGCAUUGCAUUGCAUUUGGGGAGAGUGAUGAGGGCGAAGCAUACCCUGUGUCAUACCGCUAUCUUUCGAUUUUGUAGUUUUCUUAUCUUUUGUAAACUUUGGUUGUAUAUGUUUUGUUAUGAGGCUUUGCGUCCUCCCUCGUACAUUUGUAUUUCCGCUGCGUAGUUUAUAGCUCAGUAUGGUUUUAAGGAGUUAAGUCUUUUUAAAACGCAAACGUCGACACUGGAACCACGAUCCAUGCUUGGCAUGUUGAUUUGAGAAGCUGGCGACGAAUCAUUCCACCGUGACAUAGUUUUGAUCGUUGGUGCCUUUACUUUAUUAGUUUCUAAAUAACUUGUUUUUCUACAAAGGCGCACAGUUUGAGGCAGAUGCUGCCGAAAUUUCCACUCACUCACCUUUUUAAAGUUAAUAAUUAACGUUUAUAAAUUCUUUUCUUUUUCUUUUAUGUAACACCCGAAUUUCCUCCUGUCCUUUACGGUUUUGGUUUCGUUAAGGGGUCGGAAAUUUUGGGGUGUUACACAAGUGCAAGGGAAUUAGUAGUCUGAAAACACGAAUGAACGCCUCCAACUAGUUCUAUUUCUAAUCAGGUCCUCAGAGAGGUGUAACUCAUGCAAAUUUACUUUUAUUUGCUCAUCCCAUGUUUUCCUAGGUCUACCUCGACUUCUAUUAUGAUGCUUUUUAUCCUCCUCACAAGGGCGUCAAAAGUCUUUCUAUGCACAUGUCCAAACCAUCUCAAUCUAUUUUCGCGCACCUUUGCCGAAAUAGGGGCAACCCCUAGCCUAUCUCUAAACUCAUGGUUCUUAAUUCGAUCCAUCAAUGUGUUAUCGCACAUCCACCUUAGCAUACGUAUUUCUGUAACUUUCAUCUUAUGUUUAAAAAUCUUUUUUAAAGGCAAAGUAACUUCUAUUUAUGUAUAUGUAUAUAUUUAAGUCCUACCAAUAUAAAUGUGGCUCCAA